rnacentral:rRNA from 1 species
GUAAGGAAUAUUGGACAAUGGCCGCAAGGCUGAUCCAGCCAUGCCGCGUGCAGGAAGAAGGCCCUAUGGGUCGUAAACUGCUUUUGAACAAGAGAAAACCCCUCUACGUGUAGAGGGCUGAUAGUAUUGUUAGAAUAAGCAUCGGCUAACUUCGUGCCAGCAGCCGCGGUAAGACGAAGGAUGCAAGCGUUAUCCGGAUUCAUUGGGUUUAAAGGGAGCGUAGGCGGACUUGUAAGUCAGUGGUGAAAUCUUUGGGCUUAACCCAGAAACUGCCAUUGAUACUGCAAGUCUAGAGUACAGUUGCCGUUGGCGGAAUAUGACAUGUAGUGGUGAAAUACUUAGAUAUGUCAUAGAACACCGAUUGCGAAGGCAGCUAACGAAGCUGUAACUGACGCUGAGGCUCGAAAGUGCGGGGAUCAAACAGGAUUAGAAACCCCAGUAGUCC